CAAUAGCGUAUAUUAAAGUUGUUGCAGUUAGAACGCUCGUAGUCGGAUUUCGGGGCGGGCCGACCGGUCUGCCGAUGGGUACGCACUGGUCGGCGCGUCCUUCCUUCCGGAGACCGUGCCUACUCUUAACUGAGCGGGGGCGGGAGACGGAUCGUUUACUUUGAAAAAAUCAGAGUGUUUCAAGCAGGCAGCUCGCUCUUGCAUGGAUUAGCAUGGGAUAAUGAAAUAGGACUUUGGUGCUAUUUUGUUGGUUUCGAACACCGAAGUGAUGAUUAAAAGGGACAGUCAGGGGCACUCGUAUUCCGCCGAGAGAGGUGAAAUUCUCAGACCAGCGGAAGACGAACCACUGCGAAAGCAUUUGCCAGGGAUGUUUUCACUG
rnacentral:rRNA from 1 species